rnacentral:rRNA from 1 species
UACGUAGGGUGCAAGCGUUGUCCGGAAUCAUUGGGCGUAAAGCGCGCGUAGGCGGCCCUGCAAGUCGGGGGUGAAAGCCCGAGGCUCAACCUCGGAACUGCCUUCGAUACUGCGGGUCUCGAGUCCGGGAGAGGUGAGUGGAAUUCCUAGUGUAGAGGUGAAAUUCGUAGAUAUUAGGAAGAACACCAGUGGCGAAGGCGGCUCACUGGCCCGGUACUGACGCUGAGGCGCGAAAGCGUGGGGAGCAAACAGG